UCCCACAUAGUCUAGUUGGCUAGGACAGCUUGGUCUCACCCAGCAGACCCGGGUUCGAGUCCCGGUGUGGGAA
rnacentral:tRNA from 1 species